UCCCACCCCAGGUGUGACCACUUUGCUCUCCCUGCCCACUCCCCUUUAUAAUCUGCCCCAGGAAAGGCAGUAGCCUCAAGCUUGCCCAACUGGGCAGAGGGAUCCUCCUCCCAUCAUCACUGCAACACUCCUUGCCUCAUCCUGACCUGUCAGCACUUUGGGAACGAGGACCAUGAAAUUCCAUCUGUAAAAACCUGAGAAAAACUCACAGGAUGGCAAGCUUUUAAAAUUCUUAAUUAUACUAAUUACUGCACUGCGAAGCAAAGUGAUCUAACACGUAAACUGAAGAAAUCAGGUUUCUUUCUUGAGCACAAACAGCAAACAAACAUAAAAUAUCCUUUUGAGCCUCCACAAAAAAAAAUCUAUCUAAUCUGUGCUUAUCAUAAUAUUUAUGAAAUAAAAAACAGAGAGGAAAAACUGCUGUAAUGUACUCUGGGUGACCUCUGCUUUUGAGAGAGAAUGAAAACAGCCUUUUGCUUUUCAAUCCCCAUCAAAGUGGAGUUAAAGGAGGGACAGCAUUCCCUUGCUCACUGCCAUUAAUCAUUGCUUUCUUCAAGCAAGUGCGUAUUAAUUUCUGUCAUCCCAAACAUCAUCGAGUAUUGUUACAGCACCGUUCACUCCUCAUUCACCACCAGUUGUUACCAGUUUCCCUACA